AGCAGCCGCGGUAAUUCCGAGCUCCAAUAGCGUAUAUUAAAGUUGUUGCAGUUAAAAAGCUCGUAGUUGAACUUCGGGGUUUACUCAUUGGUCAGGCUUAAUUGUCUGUACUGGUGAGAUGAGUCUCUACCUUCUGAGGAACUUUCAUGCCAUUUGUUUGGUGUGGUUGGAAAUCAGGACUGUUACUUUGAAAAAAUUAGAGUGUUUAAAGCAGGCUAACGUCUGAAUACAUUAGCAUGGAAUAAUGAAAUAGGACGGAUUGAUUCUAUUUCGUUGGUUUCUAGGGUCACCGUAAUGAUUAAUAGGGAUAGUUGGGGGCAUUAGUAUUCAAUUGUCAGAGGUGAAAUUCUUGGAUUUAUUGAAGACUAACUACUGCGAAAGCAUUUGCCAAGGAUGUUUUCAUUAAUCAAGAACGAAAGUUAGGGGAUCGAAGACGAUCAGAUACCGUCGUAGUCUUAACCAUAAACUAUGCCGACUAGGGAUCGGACGCAGUUAAUUUUAUAAUGACGUGUUCGGA
rnacentral:rRNA from 1 species